UAAGAUCAAAACGCAGCUGAGCUGUCAUAAGCCCAAGAUGCACCUAAGACCAACCUUAAGAUGAUCUUAGCGCCCCCGACUAAUUAAACCCCACGAAAGCUAAGGCCCAAACUGGGAUUAGAUACCCCACUAUGCCUAGCCCUAAAUCCUGAUGCUUACCCUACCAAAGCAUCCGCCUGAGAACUACGAGCGCAAACGCUUAAAACUCUAAGGACUUGGCGGUGCCCCAAACCCACCUAGAGGAGCCUGUUCUAUAAUCGAUACUCCACGGUACACCCGACCAUUCCUUGCCAAAGCAGCCUACAUACCGCCGUCGCCAGCUCACCUCUCUUGAAAGCGCAGCAGUGAGCACAAUAGCAACCCGCUAGUAAGACAGGUCGAGGUAUAGCCUAUGGAAUGGGAGAAAUGGGCUACAUUUUCUAGCAUAGAAGAACGGAAGGGAGCAUGAAACCGCUCCCCAAAGGCGGAUUUAGCAGUAAAGUAGGAUAAUAAUGCCUGCUUUAAGUUGGCCCUGAGGCACGUACAUACCGCCCGUCACCCUCC
rnacentral:rRNA from 1 species